rnacentral:tRNA from 1 species
UAAAAAAUAAGCUAAAUAAGCUAAUAGGUUCAUACCCUAUAUAUAAAGGCCCCUAUCCUUUUUUUUUAA